rnacentral:rRNA from 1 species
GAUGAACGCUGGCGGCGUGCCUAAUACAUGCAAGUCGAGCGAACAGACGAGGAGCUUGCUCCUCUGACGUUAGCGGCGGACGGGUGAGUAACACGUGGAUAACCUACCUAUAAGACUGGGAUAACUUCGGGAAACCGGAGCUAAUACCGGAUAAUAUAUUGAACCGCAUGGUUCAAUAGUGAAAGACGGUUUUGCUGUCACUUAUAGAUGGAUCCGCGCCGCAUUAGCUAGUUGGUAAGGUAACGGCUUACCAAGGCAACGAUGCGUAGCCGACCUGAGAGGGUGAUCGGCCACACUGGAACUGAGACACGGUCCAGACUUCUACGGGAGGCAGCAGUAGGGAAUCUUCCGCAAUGGGCGAAAGCUUGACGGAGCAACGCCGCGUGAGUGAUGAAGGUCUUCGGAUCGUAAAACUCUGUUAUUAGGGAAGAACAAAUGUGUAAGUAACUAUGCACGUCUUGACGGUACCUAAUCAGAAAGCCACGGCUAACUACGU